ACAGGAAAAAAAUUAUGGUGGAAAUUCAUAGUUCUGUAAUUUAGUGUACGCAACACGCUUCGGUAGUUCCUACUAUUGACUGAAAUAUUUUUGAUCUAGAUUUGGGACACAAGUUCAACCACGGCAGCGUCGUCCAGAUUAAUAAUUCACAUAAGGAUAAAUUAACAUUUAACACAUUAUUUCGUCUAAUUAUAAUAAAUAGCGAACAUUUUAUGGUUGAAAUUCAUAAUAUUAAGUGUACUUACGCAACACGGUUCAGUAGUUCCCACUAUUGAUUGAAAAAUUGUUUAUUCUAAAAUGAAACAAUUUUUAUUAUCGUUCGUCGUAUUAUUGCUCCUCGUAAAUAUAUGUAUAGCAGAUCCAAAAGUAUAUAGAACAUGCUGCUAUUUCCUUUUCGGAUGUUAUGAAGAAUUAAUCGAUUAUAGCGACUGUGAUGUGUUAUAUAUUGGAAAUGGACAUGAGAAUGAAAACAAUAUUGUGUACACCAAUAAAUAAGUACUUAAUUAUGAUUAAUAAUUAUUAAAGUGAAAAUUUUAAUUUAGGUUACGACAAAUAAAUUGAAUUUUGACCUAAGAAAUACAACAGCAGU